rnacentral:sRNA from 1 species
AUUUCAAAUUCGCUUAGUCUGUAUCAGAGCGGGGGAACCAUUUUGGGGCAUAACAUUGCCUCUAGGGGUGAAUCCUUUUAAAGGUAGGGCAAACUCUCGUGAGCCCGAAUCCGUCAGCUAACCUCGUAAGCGUUAAGAGAGAGGGAGA